GACGAACCGUGCGAACGUUGUUCGGAUUCACUGGGCUUAAAGGGCGCGUAGGCGGGUUGCAAGUCAGGGGUGAAAUCUUUCAGCUUAACUGGAAAACAGCCCCUGAUACUGCGAGUCUCGAGGGAGGUAGGGGCAUGUGGAACUUCCGGUGGAGCGGUGAAAUGCGUAGAUAUCGGAAGGAACGCCGGUGGCGAAAGCGACGUGCUGGACCUCUUCUGACGCUGAGGCGCGAAAGCUAGGGGGAGCAAACGGGG
rnacentral:rRNA from 1 species